rnacentral:lncRNA from 1 species
CGCGGUGCCUGCAAUACCCACUGAUGACAGCCGUCCCAGUGAUGAUGCAUUUCACCGGAGUAUGGAACUCAUGCUGUUGGCUGGUUAGGAGAUUCCUGAGCGUGAGGACCAUCCAGAGCUCGACACAGAACAAGGCACGAGAGUUCCAAAGUCAAGCUGUCAAGUUUAAUCAUGACACCUGCCUACUGUGUAUAUGAAGGAAAAGAAAAUGCCACUGGGGACUGCCAUUUCUAUUUGCC